rnacentral:rRNA from 1 species
UACGUAGGCAGCAAGCGUUGUUCGGAGUUACUGGGCGUAAAGGGUGUGUAGGCGGUUGCUUAAGUUUGGUGUGAAAUCUCCCGGCUCAACUGGGAGGGUGCGCCGAAUACUGAGUGACUCGAGUGCGGGAGAGGAAAGUGGAAUUCCGUGGUGAUAGCGGUGAAAUGCGUAGAUAUCAGGAGGAACACCGGUGGUGUAGACGGCUUUCUGGACCGUAACUGAACGC